CAUGAACGCUAGCGGCAGGCUUAAUACAUGCAAGUCGUGGGGCAGCAGGGUUGUAGCGAUACAAUCGCUGGCGACCGGCAAACGGGUGCGUAACACGUACGCAACCUUCCCGUUACUGUGGCAUAGCCCAGGGAAACUUGGAUUAAUACCACAUAUUAUAUUGGUGAGGCAUCUCAUUGAUAUCAAAGCUUCGGCGGUAACGGAUGGGCGUGCGGUUGAUUAGGUAGUUGGCGGGGUAACGGCCCACCAAGCCUACGAUCAAUAGCUGAUGUGAGAGCAUGAUCAGCCACACGGGCACUGAGACACGGGCCCGACUCCUACGGGAGGCAGCAGUAAGGAAUAUUGGGCAAUGGACGAAAGUCUGACCCAGCCAUGCCGCGUGAAGGAUUAAGGUCCUCUGGAUUGUAAACUUCUUUUCUCUGGGGCGAAAACCAGCUAUUCUUAGCUAUUUGACAGUACCAGAGGAAUAAGCACCGGCUAACUCCGUGCCAGCCGCCGCGGUAAGAC
rnacentral:rRNA from 1 species